GCUAAUAAUGCAUAGAAACCCCUCCACUUACAGAGAUGAAAAAGCGGCCGAAUUCUCUAAUAUACGAGGUUUCUUUAAUACCCCACUCAUUCUAACUUAGACGAAGCUAGAUGACUUAAACGACCUGAGUUCCUAAUUGGAGGGGAUGCUUGUGCUUGGUCUGCCGAAGAAAUCUCUCUAUUUUUCAAUUGUUUCGUGAGACAUGAAGAAACUUUUAGACAUAACCAAAUGUUACAUAGGUCCCUGAUAUUUUCUCCAAUGCUUGGUCUCUCUUGUCUUUGCUUAUUGUUUCCAAUAUCGUUUAUGAUGCUCCGAGGACAUGGAUCAUUCAUUUAUUCUUGUAGAUUUUCCACCGUGGUUGAACCUCUCACCACUAUGUCGCCGUCUCACCGCAGCCUAUGAUGCAUAUAGCUUGCAAAGCCUAGGCAACAUGGGAAGAAACGGGCCUUGAGUUGUUGUUGGAGUGGCUCCGCCACGCAUCUGUAGAGUUUACUCGCUGCUCUAAACGAUCGAAGAAUUUUUUUUUUCUGAUUUUGUUCGCUGUACUCAUAUUUGUUUGGUGUGAGGAGCUGGUGUACUUAAAAAUAAAAAUAAAAAAGAAAAAGAGGACUGAAGGAUACCAUUUGGGGUUCAAAGUUCUCUGUAGAUUCUUGAGCGAGCAUGGGUACCAAUUGCCGCUGCCUUCCCUGCCUAGUGUUCCGUCCUGUUUCGUAGGGAAUUUGCUCU
rnacentral:lncRNA from 1 species